rnacentral:rRNA from 1 species
UACGGAGGGGGCUAGCGUUGUUCGGAAUUACUGGGCGUAAAGCGCACGUAGGCGGACCAGAAAGUAGGGGGUGAAAUCCCGGGGCUCAACCCCGGAACUGCCCUCUAAACUCCUGGUCUUGAGUUCGAGAGAGGUGGGUGGAAUUCCGAGUGUAGAGGUGAAAUUCGUAGAUAUUCGGAGGAACACCAGUGGCGAAGGCGGCCCACUGGCUCGAUACUGACGCUGAGGUGCGAAAGCGUGGGGAGCAAAC